CCUACGGGGGGCAGCAGUGGGGAAUAUUGGACAAUGGGGGCAACCCUGAUCCAGCCAUGCCGCGUGUGUGAAGAAGGCCCUCGGGUUGUAAAGCACUUUCAGUGAGGAAGAACGCCUGGUGGUUAAUACCCAUCAGGAAAGACAUCACUCACAGAAGAAGCACCGGCUAACUCCGUGCCAGCAGCCGCGGUAAUACGGAGGGUGCGAGCGUUAAUCGGAAUUACUGGGCGUAAAGCGCGCGUAGGUGGCUUGAUAAGCCGGUUGUGAAAGCCCCGGGCUCAACCUGGGAACGGCAUCCGGAACUGGCAAGCUAGAGUGCAGGAGAGGAAGGUAGAAUUCCCGGUGUAGCGGUGAAAUGCGUAGAGAUCGGGAGGAAUACCAGUGGCGAAGGCGGCCUUCUGGACUGACACUGACACUGAGGUGCGAAAGCGUGGGUAGCAAACAGGAUUAGAUACCCCAGUAGUC
rnacentral:rRNA from 1 species